ACCUACCCUCCAGAUCGACGGAAGCUCCGGAUGGUGGAGUUUAAUGUCCACAGCCCGCCGUGCCUUCAGUAACUACUAGCUACGUGCCAAGCACACAGGCCGAGAAAAACAUUCGGUUUAAAAAUCUGGUUUAUGUCAUCGUAUCUAGAACUACUAGGAUAAAAUGUUUAUUUCCACUUGACCUGUUCCUCUGUAACUCAAGUGUGAUGAAAACAGAGAUGAAACCCGGAAUCGGCUGUGAGCUGGGUUUGAUAGCUUCACAGCAGGCUGGGGUUUGCUUUCUCCACAAGCUGGCUCCAGAGCAAGUCCCACGAGAGACAGUGCUUCCCAAAUAAAUUGGGAAGUGAAGGAGAAGGAUGAAUAUGAUCAACCUGUGGGAGCUUAUCCUAGGCUACACACGUUGCUAAGUAUUACUUGGGUCUAUUCCCCUAAUCGUUUCAAAGACACCAACAAACAGGUACUGUUGCCAGAACCCCAUUAAAGAAAACCUAAAACAGGAAACAUUAAGGAACCUGUCCAAAGUCACUCACCUGGUGACUGUGUGUAAGCAAGUAUACCCCGUAAGUUGACAAGAGUCAAGGUAAUUUGUCACUCUAGCUUCAAAUGCUCUUUUGCUACAUAUCAAAAGCAAAACCUACCGUGCUUGAUGUCUGAUAAGACGGACGGAGCCACCGUUGUAAUCACAGGAAUGAAUGUAAGCAUGGCUUCCUUCGCCACUGUCCUGAACCCAGAAGAGCAGUUUGUCCAGGACAUCCAGAGUCAGCACCGAUACCCCCCCUGGUGUCUCCAGCAGUAUUUUUACAUCCACACCACUAAGAUGUGCUCUGUGAAGGCUGCCGGUCACCUCUGAAGACCAAAACAUCAACCUGGAGAUGAACAUAUCACGCACAACCAUAACUGAAUGAACAGCCACUGAAGUAGGGGCUCUCGGGGCUCCCACCUCUGGUGCUUGCCCAGGGGAGUCUGAUAGCUUUGAAUGGGAAUUCAAUUGUGUGUAUGUAUCUCCUACUGGAAAUGCCAUGCGAUUUCAAGUGUGAAGGAAAACUAAGCUUUUAUAGAAGAACGUCAGGCAGGGAGAACUCUCUAGUGUCCUGAUCCAGCCACUUGUUUUGGGGGAAAUGGCGCCUGUGUAUUGUCAAAGAAGACCUGCAUCUCACUCAGGAGUCCUUUCAGGUAACACAAUGUACUAAUCUUGGUGAGAUUUGAAGCUCAUUCCCAUCUCCUUUAAAACAAAACAAAACAGAUUUUUACCUCUCUAUUGGAUCCACUGCUAUAUUUGAUGGAUGUUUUAAGGAACUUAGAAGAACUCGGGAAUUUUUCCCUGUCAUAUCUGUUACAGUGAUGACUCCGUUCUGUUGGUCUGCCCAGAGAAUCUCAUCAUCUAUCCAGUUUAUGGCCAGCCCAGACACCGUCUUCUCUACAUUGCACACUUUCUGCAAAACCAAAUUUCAACAUUAAAAAUAUUUCCAAUUCACAAUGAAAUUGCUACCUUAUCGCACAUUGAAAGUCUGUCAUCUUAGUAUUUGCCAUUUUAAUGAGUUCUCUGCAUCUUUUAAAUGAUGAAAUGUUCACACAGAGUGAGACUGUUUCCAUUCAGCAACAGUAUACCCCUCCUUGUCAAUAGGCUUUCUGUAUCAUAGCUUUGGAAUCCCAAACUAUCCUCUAUACUAUUGAAAUUGGAAGAUCAGUCACAAAAAUUUUUUCACAGAUUUUUUUUUUUAAUGUUUAAAACAGUUCUUUUAAAUUCCACUUGUUGAUGGAAUCCUAACAUGAAUUCAAUUUUAGGUCUUUCCAAGCUCUGGUAAAAUCCCACUGGGGUUUGUGCAGGGUCGUGGAGAGGAAGUCCCAUCCAAUCCCUUUUGAAAGAGAAUCUCAGGUACUCCAGGGUGGCCUUGAACUGUUUAAGUUUGAGGUUGGCCUUGCUCUCCAGAUCCUCCUGCCUCUGUCUCUUGAGUGCUGGGAUUACAGGCCUACCCAGGGUUUUAUGUGUGCCAAGCAAACGUUCUAGUGACUGAGCUAUAGCCACCAGCUCUGGAAGCAGUUUUUUUUAUGGAAUCCUGUUUUCCUCUGCCCACCCUUCUACCAUCAAGACACUUUCUUCUUCCAGACCUCAAUGACACCAGAGAAGCAGUGUUUCCCUUUAUAUGCUUUAGGCUGUCCCUUGCCUGUUCUUGAAAGAACCAAAAAGAAUCUGUAUUCUUGAGUCCAACCUGAGCAAAUCAAUUAGUCCUCUUGGGGCUUGGGUUGACAAGGCAGGAGGAAGCUGUGGUUUUUACCCUCACAGGCUCCUGUGGUGUCUUAGCUCUACCACUGUGGCUCCUGCUCCCUUUAGGACUUUGUUGAGUUUGGAGCUGGGUAGAGACAGCACCGACUCAGAGCUGUGCUAGAUCUUUUGCAGAGCUGUCCAGCCGAAACCUUAAACAACUCUUGAGUUCCCUCGUUAGCGCUCCCCUUUAAAUUGCUUUCACGUUCAGUGUGAACAGUUCGGUGUGUGCUAUUUUCUAAGUUUUAACGACGGAAGGGGUGAUGGUGGCGUGCUGGUGAGUUAUUGGCACCAGGCCAAUCCUUUCCUAAGGACUUGACAUAAAUCCACGACUGCUUAUUCUCUUUUCCUUGGUUGGUGGCAGGGAGUCUCAGAUUUCCGCACUGUCCUAGCGGAUGUCUGGAGAGUACAGAAUAGCCGGACUUGUUAAAGUGAGACUAGCCAGUAUUAGAGAUGCGCUAAAACAGAUUAGCACCUAAUUGAAGCUUUUAGAAAUAAUUGGAAGGAGAGAGAUUUAGUUUGGAAGAGGGGAAAAAAAAAAAAAACCAAACACUGAGCACUUUGUGUUGGGAAUAAAUGCUUGAGGGUUCCACUAAUCACCCGCUCUCUGUAAUCCAUUCCCUGGGACAUUCCUCCUGGGACUCACUGCUGAGUUCUACCAGUUGAAGAGAAAGAUUAAGGGUCUUUUGUAUGUACUUGAAAUACAACACUUUUUAUCUGUCCUUGGCUUCAUUUUUUUUUCCCCCAGAGUACAAACACUUUGAGAAUACAAAGCCAACUUAUUUUCAUUACUGUCAGGUAUUUCCCCCACUACAUGAGAAGAAAAAUGUAUACAGAUAAAGCAGACUUUCUUGACUGAGGCACUAUCAACUCGAGGUUAGACAGUGCUUCACCACGGGGCUGUGCCACACAGCCCAGGAUGUUGAUUGGCAACCUUCCUUGCCCUGGGCCCAUUGGAUACCCAUAGCAUCUUCAUCCUCUUAUUGCAGUUACUUGUGACAACCAAAUAUUCAUAGAGGGACAAAACCGUCUGUGGUACACAGUGCAAAUGAUGUCUUCAUGGCGACCGACUUAACAAUAUCAGAUGUUUUCAAAAUUAUAUUCAUUUUCUCAUGUCCUUCUGUUAAAGGCUUGCAAAUGUGGAUUUGAACACUUUAUCAGUGGUGUAGCACCACAGGUGAGUAUAAAUGCCUGCAGUUACCACCCGCACCUUUGAACCAUGAUGUAUUUUCACGCAUCUCCCUGUCCAAGUACUAGGUACUGCUUAGCUCCUGACAUCAGGCCCAUUCAGAGAACUCUGACCUUAGACAAAUGAUCUACACAUUAGAAAUUCAGUACGCCACAUUUGUCAGAUUUUGUAUAAAUUCUUCACAUACCAUGGGGGGAAUAAUGGUACUUUUACCUCUUGUCUUGACCCAUUAAAGAAAACUCUUUGCAAAAGUUGUCUUUCUAAAUCCACCCAAUAGAGUCUCUCUUCUUUAUAAUGAAAAUCCAUGACCGCUGAGACGCCAGCAUCCACCACCAAUUGCUGGUGAUUUGUUCCAUCUGGGUCAAUCCGAGAGAUGCUCUUUCCUUGUGAGAAAACUAGGAAGGGGGCAGGACCUGAUGGGGGAGGGGAGAAAGAAACCAACGUAGAGAUUUUCAGUGGUAUUUAAUCUGAUCCACAUAAAAUACUUCCCAUGACAAUCAAUAUAUGUAGAAGUGACUUAAAUUUUUAGUCUUGUAUUUUAAAUAAGAAGCAUUCUGUAC
ensembl:antisense Gm42697 predicted gene 42697